rnacentral:rRNA from 1 species
AUACGGAGAGUGCAAGCGUUGUUCGGAAUUACUGGGCGUAAAGAGCAUGUAGGCGGCCUAGUCAGUCUGGUGUGAAAGCCCGGGGCUCAACCCCGGAAGUGCAUUGGAUACUGCUAGGCUUGAGUACUGGAGGGGAAAGCGGAAUUCCGAGUGUAGAGGUGAAAUUCGUAGAUAUUCGGAGGAACACCUGUGGCGAAGGCGGCUUUCUGGACAGAUACUGACGCUGAGAUGCGAAAGCGUGGGGAGCAAACAGGAUUAGAUACCCCAGUAGUCC